GAGUUUGAUCGUGGCUCAGAUUGAACGCUGGCGGCAUGCCUUACACAUGCAAGUCGAACGGCAGCACGGGAGCUUGCUCCUGGUGGCGAGUGGCGAACGGGUGAGUAAUGCAUCGGAACGUAUCCUGGAGUGGGGGAUAACGUAGCGAAAGUUACGCUAAUACCGCAUAUUCUGUGAGCAGGAAAGCGGGGGGACCUUCGGGGCCUCGCGCUCUUGGAGCGGCCGAUGUCGGAUUAGCUAGUUGGUGAGGUAAAGGCGUCACCAAGGCGACGAUCCGUAGCAGGUCUGAGAGGAUGAUCUGCCACACUGGAACUGAGACACGGUCCAGAC
rnacentral:rRNA from 1 species